rnacentral:rRNA from 1 species
GACGAACGCUGGCGGCGUGCUUAACACAUGCAAGUCGAACGGAAAGGCCCUGCUUUUGUGGGGUGCUCGAGUGGCGAACGGGUGAGUAACACGUGAGUAACCUGCCCUUGACUUUGGGAUAACUUCAGGAAACUGGGGCUAAUACCGGAUAGGAGCUCCUGCUGCAUGGUGGGGGUUGGAAAGUUUCGGCGGUUGGGGAUGGACUCGCGGCUUAUCCGCUUGUUGGUGGGGUAGUGGCUUACCAAGGCUUUGACGGGUAGCCGGCCUGAGAGGGUGACCGGCCACAUUGGGACUGAGAUACGGCGCAGACUCCUACGGGAGGCAGCAGUGGGGAAUAUUGCACAAUGGGCGGAAGCCUGAUGCAGCAACGCCGCGUGCGGGAUGACGGCCUUCGGGUUGUAAACCGCUUUCGCCUGUGACGAAGCGUGAGUGACGGUAAUGGGUAAAGAAGCACCGGCUAACUACGUG